rnacentral:lncRNA from 1 species
AUCUGCAUAAUUGAUUCAAAUUUUGCACCAUAUAUUUGGGAGAUCUUUGAGAGACAAUGAGGUGAUCACAAUGAAUAUUUAGCAUAAAGUUUGAUGCACCAAAGUUGAAGAUUACUGGCAUAUAAAAAUGAUAUGUAGUCCAUUUUCCCGGGUAUUGUAAGUUAAUUUUUUGCACUUCUCACUCGGAAAUAGCUAAGACUUGAAGAUAGAAAUAAGGUGGUUUGCUUGUGGAGAUAUAUGUUUCCCUCCCUUUUUGAUCUCUGUAUUCUGAACAUGAUGUUCCACAUAAUCGCAGGUGACACCCGUCCUAUUCCAUUCCCAACAUUUGUCAAGGUUAUUAUUAUCCCUAUAGUAGGAUUAACCGGAGCACAAAAGGCAGCGAAGGAGGUUGUGUUGCAUUGAGGUGUUGAUAUUUUCAGCAGUGUUGUUUUUGGAAUGCCAUAUUUUAAUGAAUUGUUGAAAUAUAAAAAAGGACAUGUUAUUUAGAUUUUAGACCACCUGCAUAGCAAUUUGGCUGGAUUUUGGAAUUGGAAUGUCACAGUGGGUGUGUUGAACGAAGGGGAUGAGCAGGAAGUUCACAAACUUACGGCAAUUGAUGUGGAAGAGGAGGAUAGGCUCGAAU